CUAGUAACUGCGAGUGAAGCGGGAAAAGCUCAAAUUUAAAAUCUGGCGGUCUUUUGGCUGUCCGAGUUGUAAUCUAGAGAAGUGCUAUCCGCGCUGGACCGUGUACAAGUCUCCUGGAAUGGAGCAUCAUAGAGGGUGAGAAUCCCGUCUUUGACAUGGACUGCCAGGGCUUUGUGAUGCGCUCUCAAAGAGUCGAGUUGUUUGGGAAUGCAGCUCAAAAUGGGUGGUAAAUUCCAUCUAAAGCUAAAUAUUGGCGAGAGACCGAUAGCGAACAAGUACCGUGAGGGAAAGAUGAAAAGUACUUUGGAAAGAGAGUUAAACAGUACGUGAAAUUGCUGAAAGGGAAACGCUUGAAGUCAGUCGCGUCAUCCAGGGAUCAACCUUGCUUUUGCUUGGUGCACUUUCUGGUUUGACGGGUCAGCAUCAAUUUUGACCAUUGGAAAAAGGUUAAGGGAAUGUGGCAUCUUUGGAUGUGUUAUAGCCCUUGGUCACAUACAAUGGUUGGGAUUGAGGAACUCAGCAUGCCGCAAGGCCGGGUUUUAAACCACGUUCGUGCUUAGGAUGCUGGCAAUAUGGCUUUAAUCGACCCGUCUUGAAACACGGACCAAGGAGUCUAACAUGCCUGCGAGUGUUUGGGUGGAAAACCCGAGCGCGUAAUGAAAGUGAAAAGUUGAGAUCCCUGUCGUGGGGAGCAUCGACGCCCGGACCAGACCUUUUGUGACGGUUCCGCGGUAGAGCAUGUAUGUUGGGACCCGAAAGAUGGUGAACUAUGCCUGAAUAGGGUGAAUCCAGAGGAAACUCUGGUGGAGGCUCGUAGCGAUUCUGACGUGCAAAUCGAUCGUCAAAUUGGGUAUAGGGCGAAAGACUAAUC
rnacentral:rRNA from 1 species